AGUGAACGCUGGCGGUAGGCCUAACACAUUCAAGUCGAACGGCAGCACAGUAAGAGCUUGCUCUUACGGGUGGCGAGUGGCGGACGGGUGAGGAGUACAUCGGAAUCUACUUUUUCGUGGGGGAUAACGUAGGGAAACUUACGCUAAUACCGCAUACGACCUACGGGUGAAAGCAGGGGAUCUUCGGACCUUGCGCGAUUGAAUGAGCCGAUGUCGGAUUAGCUAGUUGGCGGGGUAAAGGCCCACCAAGGCGACGAUCCGUAGCUGGUCUGAGAGGAUGAUCAGCCACACUGGAACUGAGACACGGUCCAGACUCCUACGGGAGGCAGCAGUGGGGAAUAUUGGACAAUGGGCGCAAGCCUGAUCCAGCCAUACCGCGUGGGUGAAGAAGGCCUUCGGGUUGUAAAGCCCUUUUGUUGGGAAAGAAAAGCAGCAGGUUAAUACCCCGCUGUUCUGACGGUACCCAAAGAAUAAGCACCGGCUAACUUCGUG
rnacentral:rRNA from 1 species